UACGUAGGGUGCGAGCGUUAAUCGGAAUUACUGGGCGUAAAGCGUGCGCAGGCGGUUUUGUAAGCCAGAUGUGAAAUCCCCGGGCUUAACCUGGGAAUGGCAUUUGGGACUGCAAGGCUGGAGUGUGGCAGAGGAGACUGGAAUUCCUGGUGUAGCAGUGAAAUGCGUAGAUAUCAGGAAGAACACCCGUGGCGAAGGCGGUUCUCUGGGACGGUACUGACGCUGAGACGCGAAAGCGUGGGGAGCGAACAGG
rnacentral:rRNA from 1 species